rnacentral:rRNA from 1 species
UACGUAGGUGGCAAGCGUUGUCCGGAUUUACUGGGCGUAAAGAGCGCGCAGGCGGUCGUUCAAGUCGCGUGUGAAAGCCCCCGGCUCAACUGGGGAGGGUCACGCGAUACUGAUCGACUCGAAGGCAGGAGAGGGUAGUGGAAUUCCCGGUGUAGUGGUGAAAUGCGUAGAUAUCGGGAGGAACACCAGUGGCGAAGGCGACUACCUGGCCUGUUCUUGACGCUGACGGCGCGAAAGCUAGGGAGCAACGGG